rnacentral:lncRNA from 1 species
UGCAAGGAACAGUUGCUCUUCUUGCCUUUCAUAGAGAAGGAAUGCCUCGCUGGCAUGGGGAGCUGUGUUCCGGAAGUUGCCAGCCUGCUUCUCCUCCCACAGCCACUUGAGGUGGAGCUUUAAUUUGGCACAAAGUUGCUGGUUGUCUCCUGAUUUGACCACCUCGAUUCUGGCCCUGUAGAUUGCAACUGGGCUGCUCUCAGGAAUCCUGGAACUCACUGCUAGCUUCCAGGGAAAGGACAUUUUUCAGCCCUCGGAGAAUCUGAGUGCGGACAACUCACUGGCAGAAGAUCCGCAUUUUGGUAACCCGCGAGGCCAACUGCCGCGUACUCUGUUCCCGCAUGUUGUGAUGUUGAGGAUUGGCCUGGGGAGGCCCCGGCUCAGGAUUGUGUGAGGAUGAGGAGCGGCCGGGGAGACGGAGGAAGGUGUUCCUUCCAAGAAACAACACGAG